ensembl:lncRNA
AUGCAGAGCCAAACCAACGAGGACGGAGCUGUCAUUCUAUUACAGAGGGUGUGUGCAUUAUGGAUCAUUGAGAACGUUUUUGUGGACCUGUCAGCAGAGGACGUGUGUGCACAGCGUGAGCAACCAGACGAGUAUGAGGUCAUCGCCACCUGAGUGUCCUGGUGCAGUGGGGUGGUCCUGCAUGCUGUGAAUCCAUGAACCACGCCGACUGAAAUAACAGCUUACUUCCUACAUCCAGGGAGGCACCAGCACCACAUGACUCAAAACAUGGGAAAGUUGAGAAAGAAAAAUGUAAAAAUACUAUUAAAUACAUUUUUAUUUUAGGUCAUGUAAAGAUGUGUAAAGGUGUGUCACCAACUCUUAUAGUCUCCAGCUCUUUACUAUUAUCGGUUCAGAGCAUACUUCAGUUCUAUAUUUCAUAUCAUAGCAAUUAGUGAUAUGUCUAGAGUUUUCAAGCCCUCGAGGACUGCCUGCCCUGCUAGUUUACCUACUAUCUCUUCCCUUCCCACAGCUGAUUACCUGGAUCAGGCAUGUUCAGUCAUUCAAAAGCUGGAAGAACACACCUGAGCCAUUAUUAGAUUGGGACACACAAUGUGUGGUGUUGUCAAUAAAUACUUGAUAAUAUCUAUAAAAUGUCAAAUUUUCUGUGGUAGUUUUACUCCAAUAAUAGUAGAUUAUGUAAAAGAAUGUAAAGCAGUUUGGUAAAACAUGUUUUAAUUAUCAUUAAGACUGUUUCUGCUGUUUUACUUUUAGCUGUAAAUGUCCUCAGUCAGCAAACAGUCCAGAUCAGCUGCCUCUGGUGACCGAUGGUGAAUUAGAUCUAGUAUAAUACAUGAAUAGAGCCAGGUAAUGUUCAAUUAUGAAGUUGGCAAAAUAAAAAAAAUACACCUGACGUUAUAUUCUGUAGACACUCUUGUACAAUUGUAUUAAAAAAUGAGUGAGUUUUUCUCCCAGUGCCAAUCAUCUGAAACAUAGACUACAAAGGUACUUCUGGAUGCUGUGCAAGUGUAGUCCACAGCAACAGGAAGUGCCUGCUUGAGGAUAGUUUUGACACACAAGGUUUUACAAUGAAUUAAAACACUGCUUCACUUUUGUUCCUGCUGUUCAUCUAUAAAGUGUGUCGUGUGAGCUGAAAGUGUUCAGACAGUUGUGUGACUAUUCAUUGGUAUAAGGAUGGUGUAAAGCUCAAAGUUGAAAAUCAUGUCAUGUCAUUUCCACACACAAAUGCAAACAAUGUUUGGUUCUGCUUUUCUUUGUCUUACUUUACUGUAAAUUAAGAAAUAUAUAUUUUUUUUUUAUGUUGGUGACAUUUGUAGAUGACUUCCACCCUGAGUCAGGUUUGCUGAAGGUUUCUUCCAUUAAAGGGAACUUUUCCUCUCCACUGUAACUUUGUGCUAUAUGAAUGCAUUAUUGUUUUUUUCUCUCUGUAAGUUUGUACAGUCUCGAUCUUAUUAUCUGAUGUGCCUUGAGAUGAUUUUGUUGUGAUUUGGCGGUACAUAAAUAAAACUGAAUUGAUUGUGAUUGACAUUUUCCACUUGCAUCUAGCUGGGGAUUGACUGCAUGUCAUACCCCCUCUGUCUCUGUGCUGAGA